rnacentral:rRNA from 1 species
CUUUCGGCCGGGAAGAAAUCGUAUGGGCUAAUACCCUGUGCGGAUGACGGUACCGGCAUAAGAAGCACCGGCUAACUACGUGCCAGCAGCCGCGGUAAUACGUAGGGUGCGAGCGUUAAUCGGAAUUACUGGGCGUAAAGCGUGCGCAGGCGGUUUUGUAAGACAGGCGUGAAAUCCCCGGGCUCAACCUGGGAACUGCGCUUGUGACUGCAAGGCUAGAGUACGGCAGAGGGGGGUGGAAUUCCACGUGUAGCAGUGAAAUGCGUAGAGAUGUGGAGGAACACCAAUGGCGAAGGCAGCCCCCUGGGUCGAUACUGACGCUCAUGCACGAAAGCGUGGGUAGCAAACAGGAUUAGAUACCCUGGUAGUCCACGCCCUAAACGAUGUCAACUAGGUGUUGGGUGGGUAAAACCAUUUAGUACCGGAGCUAACGCGUGAAGUUGACCGCCUGGGGAGUACGGCCGCAAGGUUAAAACUCAAAGGAAUUGACGGGGACCCGCACAAGCGGUGGAUGAUGUGGAUUAAUUCGAUGCAACGCGAAAAACCUUACCUACCCUUGACAUGUCCAGGAGCCUGAAGAGAUUUGGGUGUGCCCGAAAGGGAACUGGAACACAGGUGCUGCAUGGCUGUCGUCAGCUCGUGUCGUGAGAUGUUGGGUUAAGUCCCGCAACGAGCGCAACCCUUGUCGUUAAUUGCCAUCAUUUAGUUGGGCACUUUAACGAGACUGCCGGUGACAAACCGGAGGAAGGUGGGGAUGACGUCAAGUCCUCAUGGCCCUUAUGGGUAGGGCUUCACACGUCAUACAAUGGUCGGUACAGAGGGUUGCCAAGCCGCGAGGUGGAGCCAAUCCCAGAAAGCCGAUCGUAGUCCGGAUUGCAGGCUGCAACUCGCCUGCAUGAAGUCGGAAUCGCUAGUAAUCGCGGAUCAGCAUGUCGCGGUGAAUACGUUCCCGGGUCUUGUACACACCGCCCGUCACACCAUGGGAGCGGGUUCCGCCAGAAGUAGGUAGCCUAACCGCAAGGGGGGCGCUUACCACGGCGGGGUUCGUGACUGGGGUGAAGUCGU